CCGGGAGUCCCUCUCUGCACCUAUUUGUAGCACCUGACUCACCUUAAUUAUGGGUCCGCGACACGUCGGGGCGCGCCGCCGGGGACGCUGCAGAUGGCCCGGAAGCACCAGCUCCGGGGGCGACCGGACAUCCCGGCCUGCCAGUGUUUGCAGUGAACCGUGUGAACCGCCUAAUAGCGGCUGGAAGUGAAACUCGAUUCCUGGGCAGAAAGGAGCACGUGACCGCACCUGAGCAGCCAGGAUCGCAGGACAGGCGGGCUGGGCAGGUGCCGGAGCGCCCACGUGCCUGGCUUCGGGACCCAGGGUCCCCUCUCCCGCCGCCGAGCCUCCAUCUGAAACCGCCUCCCUACUCAGCCCCUUCCCGAGAGAUGAGGAUGCCAGGCUCUGAAAGGGGAAGGGGCCUCGGAGAGAGGCGCCAGGGUCGGGGAGUCCCCGCACGCGUGGAUUCCCGUCCUGGUUGUUGAUUCUUGCUCAAGUCGAUUCAAGGUCUAGGAAACAGCGGCUAGCGAUCUACUUUUGCCGGCUUUUUCGGAGGGGGGAGGGUGGGGGAGGGCUGUCCUUGGUGGCAGGGCAGACCUUGAUGGACCAGUGUGAGUCUGCCCUGAGUCUCCCCCAAAAGCGGCUGUCACCGGCUGCACAAGUUUGUGCCACCCUGGGCAGCCGCUGUUGUCGUGGUCGCUAUGACAACGAGCCGAGGUUUUAUUUUUAAUAGCCGCCAGAGAUUAGAAGGAUGCCUCCGUUGGCG
ensembl:lncRNA